AGAGAGAGAGAGAGAGAGAAACGAGGUUCAGUUCGGUUCCAGGAAUUCCCAGAACCCGAACCAAACACGCCCCUAGUGAAAAUACUAAAAGAAGAUUCACUUGGCAAUAAACUAAAGGAGGAACAAAAGAUAACCAAACCAAUUAUUGUGUUAACCUUUUUCUCAUAAAUUUUAAUCCAUAACAGGCAAAAAUUCAGGUGCACAUAUAGCCAGCCUACUCAAUGAUGAUCCAACAAAAUCUGGAACACACAACCAAUUUACUCCAAUGAUUUAUGCUUCACUUGCCAUAGCGAAUGAUAACUUUGGUCAGACAAUGAUUCUAAUGCACUAAAGCUGAAAAGCAAAUGAAGGAAACUAAGCUAUUCACUCAAGAGCCGCCUCCUAAAUUAAACCAGCAAGCCCCAUAACUCCACUCUCCAAAACCAGGCUGACUUUGGAAAUCCAAACUAUAUAUGAAUUUCCUUAUGCUCCAUGUGCAAGAAUAUAGAAAGUCAUGCCAAAAUUGUGUACAAGAUUUACCAAACACAUUAUGCCAAAUCUGCUUGUAAAGAAACUACAGCAAUGGUACUUUGCUCAGCCUUAUGCCAACAUCUCAUGGUCAUCAUGAUUACAAAAACAAGCCACCCCAAGUAGUUAAUUGCUUAAAGCUUAAUCAUUGAGGUCUAACAUUAAAUACAUUUUUUCCCGUUAUCUAACAAUUUCUCACAGGUCAACAAGUGGACUCUUACACGUGCACUGGUUCUCUCCAAGAGAUGUUAAGAAACUGGUGACAGUGUGAUGAUGUUGAACAAGAGCCUAUAAACAAGAAAAAGCUUCACAUGCUGGUCAUGCACUCAUAUUCUUGUACAAGUUUAGGCUUUGAUUUUUAUGCCAUUACCUACAAAUUUUAGUAUGCAAAAUGCACUAUUCACAACAAUCACAGAAUUACUAGUGAAAUCAGGAUAGUUAAGUGGUCUUUCUCCAGACUAACUGCAGGAUAAGAACAAUAUUAACAGCAAAUUACAAAACCUUGAACAGUUUCACUCAGAACAAAUUGUAUAAUCCAACUUAGAAUAAAAAGAAUCAAAAACUGAAACAAAAUCAUUUCAGUUGCUUUGAAAAUAAGGAAGCCUGUUUCAUUCAGAAAGUGGGCAGUUUGAACCAUUUCAGUAAAAUUUUUGAAGAUACCUUUUAAUAUCUUCCACUGCUUGUUUGCGGCGUUGUAUCUGAAGCUCUAGAAUAUGAAUCAAUGUUGCUCGAGCUUGAUGGGGUCUCAAUGAAUUGAGAAGGUGAUGCAAAUUCUUAAAUAUCAGGGAUAUGUCUUCCACUCUCCGAGCAUAUUGUGACGGCCUCUCAAUAAGAACAUCAGAAAGCUCCAAAAUGUGCAACUGCAA
rnacentral:misc_RNA from 1 species